rnacentral:rRNA from 1 species
AAACGACUCUCGGCAACGGAUAUCUCGGCUCACGCAUCGAUGAAGAACGUAGCAAAAUGCGAUACUUGGUGUGAAUUGCAGAAUCCCGUGAGCCAUCGAGUUUUUGAACGCAAGUUGCGUCCGAAGCCAUCCGGUUGAGGGCACGCCUGCCUGGGCGUCACG